rnacentral:snoRNA from 1 species
UGGGCUUGUGUGUGCCUAUUGAAGUGGUAGGACAGAUGAAAGACAGGUGCAAAAAUAAAUUCUCUUUUACAGCCAGAACUCAUUGUUCAGUAUCUAUUUUUGAUACAUACAAGAAAGAAUACA